UGCAUAAAAAAAAAAACAAGUUAACCCGUAGUGGUCAUUAUGGGUCUAGAUGACCACAGGCAAUUUUUGAGUUGCUCUUGCUUCGAAGAUAUCAUUCAAAAUGGUAUCUGUGGUACCAUCUAUUAUUGUUUGAAGAUUUUUUAAAAUUUAUGG